rnacentral:lncRNA from 1 species
GUCUUUUUCUACUUUAGCCUAAAUGUUGUCAGUUUAUUUUCGAUCUAUAAGUUUGAAUUUUCCUCUGGUAUCUUUUGCUCCUUUUUUAAGGAUAGCGUAGUAUUUGCCUCAUUUGAAUACAUCAACUGCAUCUGGAUAUCUGGUCAAAACUUUAUCAACUAAUGUUUCUGGACUUUUUGAAAAACUAUUGCCUACAUCAUUGUUUUUUUCAUUAAGUGUGAACAUUUUACAUUGUAU